AUUGAACGCUGGCGGCGUGCUUAACACAUGCAAGUCGAUCGGUAACAGGUGUAGCAAUACAUGCUGACGAGAGGCGGACGGGUGAGGAAUAUUUGGGAAUCUGCCCAUCAGCGGGGGACAACCCGGGGAAACUCGGGCUAAUACCGCAUACGCUCUACGGAGGAAAGCCGGGGACCGCAAGGCCUGGCACUGAUGGAUGAGCCCAAAUCGGAUUAGCUAGUUGGCGGGGUAACGGCCCAACAAGGCGACGAUCCGUAGCUGGUCUGAGAGGACGAGCAGCCACACCGGAACUGAGACAAGGUCAGGACUCCUACGGGAGGCAGCAGUGGGGAAUAUUGGACAAGGGGGGAAACCCUGAUCCAGCGACGCCGCGUGGGUGAAGAAGGCCUGCGGGUUGUAAAGCCCUUUCGGUAGGGAAGAAAUCUCUUGUCUUAACACGGCAAGGGUUUGACUUAACCUACAUAAGAAGCACCGGCUAACUCUGUGCCAGCCGCCGCCGUAAGAC
rnacentral:rRNA from 1 species